CUUACUCAUGCGAUGAAUUAAUUCAUUGAGAAAAUUAGUUAGGCAUGGAAGUGAUUAAUAAGCAGAAGGACUCUUCCUUUCUAUAUUAGAAAAUCAAGGUGCCAUCAGAUAGUGUACCCCAUAAAGAACGACGUGGGAUUUUAAGAAAGGAAGUUAAGGGGUCCUUCUGUCCAUAUGCUAUCGAGAAUAGACGAGACGACUGUGAUUGGCAUAAUCAAUAGCCG
rnacentral:lncRNA from 1 species